AAAGUAAGUAAUAAGAAGAAGUUGAAGCAAUUUUGGGAGACGGAGAAUAACGAACGAAUACCACAGAGCCGUGUGUAAAAAAUAUUAUGAAUUGGAAUUUAUUUUCCAGGAAAAGGCAGAAAACACAAGAGAAGGUGGCCCUAAUGUAUAGCGUAAAUUGCCUGCUCCCAUAGGAAUGAAAAAUUCGGUGGAAUGGUUGCCUGCGAGGAAGUUUUGACUGCAGGUGCAGGAGGCCAUGCCAAAUGACGUGGAUUUUUGUUGCCAUUCUUCCACAUUUGCUUCAGCAACCAAUGGAUAUAGUACCACAGUAUCCAUAGUUAUAAUUUAUUUUUUUGUUUUCAAUAACAAUUGUUUAUUUCACCAAAUUAUCAUAUGUCGAUAAUACACAAAAAAAUGAAAAUGUAAAUUUUUACUUGCAUUUCUGUCACUUUUCAAUUACCAUAAGCAAAAACAAAAAUUGUUCGUUGGAAGAACGUUUUUCUCGGGCCAGUGUGUAGUAAACAAUUUCAAGCAAACCGACGAAACUCCGACCUGGUCUUCCAAAAAUACGUGACCGUGAGGAACGUAAAAUAAUAAGUAUGGUGAAUACACGAAAACGCUCUGAAUUUGCUCAUAAUUAAGCGAUUGAGGGUCAGCUUGAAUUUAAUAAAUCGACAAUGUACAAUAGUUUUAAACAAAAAAGUAAAUAAAUGAAGCAAAGUGCGGAUAAUCUUAGCUGACCUUCGACAAUUUGGAUAGAAUUACGAUCCGAAGCAUGCUAACAUUUUGGCUCUUGUGCAAUAUUCAUAGACAUUUUAAAGCGCCUCCUCAGUUAUUAAAUCAUAAUUCUAUUGAUUUAGGAUUUGUUGGAUAAAAAAAUUUGCAAGCAUGUAAUUCGAAAGAAGUUUCAUGCAUGCAGAAUAGUCAGAUAUUACAUCCGAGGAAACAGGAAAGUUGGUGAAUUCAAUCCGACAAAUUAUUAUUUUAUUCAUAAUUUUCAAUGAUAUUACGAAUUUAACUAAAUUGCAUAUUUACAUUGUGUUUUUUCUUUUCUUAAAUAAAUGCGUCAGGUGAACGCAGACUUUA